AGCGAACGCUGGCGGCAGGCUUAACACAUGCAAGUCGAACGCAUCGCAAGAUGAGUGGCAGACGGGUGAGUAACGCGUGGGAACAUACCCUUUUCUACGGAAUAGCUCUGGGAAACUGGAAUUAAUACCGUAUACGCCCUACGGGGGAAAGAUUUAUCGGGGAAGGAUUGGCCCGCGUUGGAUUAGCUAGUUGGUGGGGUAAAGGCCUACCAAGGCGACGAUCCAUAGCUGGUUUGAGAGGAUGAUCAGCCACACUGGGACUGAGACACGGCCCAGACUCCUACGGGAGGAAGCAGUGGGGAAUCUUAGACAAUGGGCGCAAGCCUGAUCUAGCCAUGCCGCGUGAGCGAUGAAGGCCUUAGGGUUGUAAAGCUCUUUCAGCUGGGAAGAUAAUGACUGUACCAGCAGAAGAAGCCCCGGCUAACUCCGUGCCAGCAGCCGCGGUAAUA
rnacentral:rRNA from 1 species